rnacentral:rRNA from 1 species
UAGGGAAUCUUCCACAAUGGACGAAAGUCUGAUGGAGCAACGCCGCGUGAGUGAAGAAGGGUUUCGGCUCGUAAAACUCUGUUGUUAAAGAAGAACAUAUCUGAGAGUAACUGUUCGGGUAUUGACGGUAUUUAACCAGAAAGCCACGGCUAACUACGUGCCAC